CUCAGGACGGUGCACUUGCAAGAACUCAGGACUCUGCAAUCCAGGCUGGCAUUGAAUCCAGGAUCCAGCUACCUCAUCCUCCAGAGUGAAGGGAAUACAGGGAGGAUAUCAUUGCUGAAAAUGGAAGAGCUACAACAUGGAAGGAUCCUGGAUCCCUGGAUUACUGCUUGGAAGAAAGUUUCCCAGGACAAUGGGCAAGUGUGAACACCUGCUUUUGAUUUUGUGUGACGGAGAAAUAAACAUUAAUUCCAUUAAGCCACUGAGACUGGAGAGCAUUAUGUUAGCUGAUGCUAGUUGGCUUGAGUAGUAGGGAC
rnacentral:lncRNA from 1 species